UCCAAGAUAUACAAUUAUAAAAGUAGCCACCCUAUAUAUGCGCUAAUAUGCAUCAGUAUAAACAUGCAAAAGGACAUACAGUAUUACUUCAGCAAUAAGUGUAAAAGUACAUGCUUAAUGCUAACAGGUUUCAGAAGCCAGUCAUAAUUGGAUUGACCCAGUUCCCCACAAGUGAGACGGUCAUAGGUGUUAAGUAUAUAUGUUGUGUUUGUCUUGUACAGGCCCAGGCCCAUAGUCUAGAGUGAGGCCCAGGCCCAUGUAACCUUGUAUAUAUCUCUCUCCUCCUCAAUACAGAAAACUGUUCGGUCAUUCUCUCUUCCUCACGUUUCCUAACAUGGUAUCAGAGCAGGACCAAACCCUAGUCCCUCUUCCAGCCGCCACCCAUGAAAUCGACGCCAGUGAGGUGAUUCAGGCGGAUCUGUCUGGUGAGGAGACAUCCACAUCGCUGCCCCAUCCCAUCUUCGUCAUCAACCUGUAGGAGCUGCUCUCCAGCAGCUCCUCUGUGUGUCCUCACAGCUACUCUGUGAGAAUACUUCCCCUGCUCUCCAGCAGUCAUCUCCAGCAAGCUCUUGGUGCCUUCCCUGCUUUACAGCAAGCUCCAGGUGUUCCCCCUUCUAUCCAGCAAGAUCCAGCAAGCUCCACCUUCUAUCCAGUGAGAUCCAGAUCCUGUUUGUGGCUGUCUGCUGCUCUUCUCUUGUUGCUGCCUGCAGCUGCUAUCAGAUUGGGUGUUUCCAGCUGCUGGCCGCUCACCACUAUGGCAAGAAAUGAUUUCGGAUUUGGUUCUUUGAUCAUAGAUAUCAAGCUUGAUGGUUCAAACUACAGGGAAUGGGCAUUUUCUGCCCGGACUGUCUUGAGGACGGCUGGUUUUGUUUCUCAUCUGACAGAUGAUCCACCUAGUCCAAAUGAUGAUGCAGCAAGGAAGUCUUGGCAAAAGAUCGAUGAUCGUGUGAUGGGAGUUUUAAUUCUGGGUGUUGAACCCUCACUCCGAAUGAGUCUUGAGCAUCACACUUCAGCUAAAGAGAUAUGGAAGUACUUUGAGCAGCGCUACCUUCAGCCCAGCAGUGCACUUCAUUUCUCCUUGUUGCAGAAUUUACACAACACUCGGCAGCCAGAAGACAUGUCCAUAGAAGAGUACUAUGGAGCUUUCACUCGCAUCACUGGGCAGCUAGGUUCCAUGGUUCCAAAGGGUAAUUCUGGUUGUGAGUCAUGUGCAGCAAAGGAAAAGUAUGACCAUCAGACUCUCAUGUUUCAGUUUGUGAUGGUCUCAAGCCAGACUUUGAGAACAUUCGCACUCAAUUGCUUGGUCGUACGACUCCUCCCACCUUGACAGAGGCACUUGCUAGCUUGAUCGCUGAGGAGACUCGUCUCCGUUCUCUUGGGGCUACUUCUGCGCAGACUCUACACACUAGUGUUCUGGCUUUUCCUCAGCGGCCAGGUGCCUCCAAGGCCACACCUUCAACUGUCGUCUGCUCGUUCUGCAAGAAGGCAGGACACCACAGAGAUGGUUGUUUCAAGCUUCAUCCAGAGCUGUUAGCUGAGUUUCAGGCUAGACGGGCCCUCAAUCAGCAGCGUCGUGCACCCCAGGCUCCUUAUCAGCAGCAAGCAAGGGGUGCUUCUGCAUCUGUUCUCUCUCAGCCCGCUGUUGCUGCAACCCAGCCUUGGGUUCUGGACUCUGGAGCUUCUUUCCAUGUGACCUCUGAUCGCUCUCAGCUUGUGUCUUGCCACGGGAUGGUGCCUCUGUUCAGACUGCUGAUGGACCGUCAGAGCAAGAGGGUCAUUGGAACUGGCCAUCGCCAUAGAGGAUCCACAUCCCUCUACAUCCUUGACACCUUACACCUUCCUUCAGCUUCCACCACAUCCGCGUUCCGGAUGGCUGCAUCAACAUCAAGAUCCACUUCGUCGUUUUCUUUUGCCCAGUGGCACCAUCGCUUAGGUCACUUGUGUGGUUCUCGUUUAUCUACCCUUGUUCGACAAGGUGUUUUGGGUCAUGUUUCCAUAGAUGCUGGUUUUCACUGUAAGGGUUGUAAGCUAGGGAAACAAAUACAGCUUCCAUACUCUUCCAGCACUACUCAUUCUAGUCAUCCUUUUGAUUUAGUGCACUCUGAUGUAUGGGGUCCUUCCCCCUUUGUUUCGAAAGGUGGCCACAAACAUUAUGUCAUAUUUGUUGAUGAUCACUCUCGACAUACUUGGGUCUAUUUUAUGAAGCAUCGUUCUGAGUUGUUUUCUAUA